rnacentral:lncRNA from 1 species
AAAUAAGAAGUCCAGGUGCCCAGGGCAGAAGCUGCAAAAUGACAGCAGGCCCAGCGCCGACGGGAAGCAAGUAUGACUUUCCAUGGGCCCACAAGCAGCUCUGAGGUCCUGAGCCUGGCUGGUCUGUGACUGUGGGACAGUAAGAUUCAGGGUUCCAGGAGUGUGAUGGCCAAGAAUCCACACCACCCCUGCCCCAGGCAAAGGACUCAGCUUUCAGCUGCAAGAACACCACAGAAGCCUAUAUAGGGUCUUGGAAGACAGCAGGGCAUCUGCCAACAGAGUCCCGUCUCUCUCUUCUCCUCCCCCUCACUCCUCUCUCCACUGCUUCACUGGACUUUGAAAAAUAUCAUGGAAGGGGCCAUUGGGUCUAGGGCCAAGAAAGGGGCUAAAAACCUCCAUCCUGGGUAACUGUCAUUAACACUAAGAUCAUGAAAGUCAAGAUAAG